UUCCCGAGCAGCCAGAGGGAGUUGACGGUAAAUUUGUCGUCAUCGACUUCAAGGUUCGACUCGAGCGAUAGCGAGAGAACGUUGCCGCAGGCAACGGCCCGAAGGGUGAGGAGCUUUAGCUCCGAAUAAUCCUUCCCGAUAUCGAA
rnacentral:sRNA from 1 species